AACAGUAGAAAGGAUAAGCUGGUGGAAUCAUCUUCUAAGAUGAAUAUGCCUUCAUCUCUUCUACAAACCAUGGCUGCAUAUCCUCUGAUGAUGCACCAUCUGGACCAGAAUGAAAGAAUGCCUUCUGAAGGGAUUUGGUACAACUAUGCAUCUUUUGAAGCAAAAUGCUCAAACUCUUAGCCAAAUCACAUCCAAUCUUUCUGCAUACAAGUUACAGGAUAACAUCGAUCUCUUUGUCACGCGAGGAACAAUAUUACCGCCAUGCUAAACAACAUGAGAGAUACACCAGUUUAAUGAGCCUUAGGCCACCCUUGCCGUAUCUAUCAAUGUGGAUUUAGCAAAUAGCAUCUUGCCUGGAGCAACUAAUACCUUGCCUCAGACCAUGAUCUGACUUGCCAAGGGGAUCCUCUUAAGCAGGAACCGAGGUGCUGAUAUGGAACUGUCGCGAUCGAGAUUGGAUAUAACCGGUUCGUGUAACUACAAAAAGAGAAUUCGACUGUAAAGCCUCAGAAGCUGGUAGGAUUCCACCAUGGAUGAACUUGUAGAGAUCCCCCUUUUUGGAGCCUAAAUGGUUACCCAUCCAAGCACCAGCUAAUAAGAAUUGCAGACCACUUAUCAUCCUUGAUCCAUG